UAUGUAGUUUUUAAUAAAUAAAUCUAAUUGGUAAUAUUUGAUAUUUAUUUUGAUCUGUGCAUGUAUUCAUUUAUUUAUCAAUAGUAUUUAUUGAUUUGUUUGCAUGAGUAGAGUUUGAGUCAAAAUUCUUUCCUUAAACUGUAGCCAGCCCUGUCACCUUAUCAAAACUGCCACAAAAUCUAAUGAAAUCAAAAUUAAACAAAACUACAUUAUAUAUUUUCAUUCAAAGGCAUCAUUUCUUCAUAAGAUCUGAAGAGCCAAAACAAAAGCAAAAGUAAUCAAUCAAACAUUUACAACAUUUUUUUUUUGCAUUACAGAAUAAUCCAGGUGGGGAAACAUGGCUAAGAAAAUAAAUAACUUACAUGAUGACAUGACUUGGCACAGACAAGGGAAGAGGAGCAAUUAAACUAUUAUUUUGCAAGUAAAAUUAAUUAUUGCCAAAAGUCUACAGGGAUAUUUCAGAAAUACUAUUCUUCACCUCAGUUCUCUACUGAAUUUUCCAGCAUGGGGAACACCUAUGUCAAUCCACAUCCUGAAUUCUAAGUUGGGUCCUAAAGCAAUUGCACAUUACAAUAUAAAGAAAGACACUU
rnacentral:lncRNA from 1 species